UACAGAGGUCCCAAGCGUUGUUCGGAUUCAUUGGGCGUAAAGGGUGCGUAGGCGGCGCGGUAAGUCGGGUGUGAAAUCUCGGGGCUUAACCCUGGAAGUGCCCCAGAAACGGUCGGACUCGAGUGCUGGAGAGGGUCGUGGAAUUCCCGGUGUAGCGGUGAAAUGCGUAGAGAUCGGGAGGAACACCAGAGGCGAAGGCGGCGACCUGGACAGUGACUGACACUCAACUGCGAAAGCGUGGGGAGCAAACAGG
rnacentral:rRNA from 1 species